GGCACGGUGGCGUAGUGGUUAGCGCCAGUGUCUCAAAACAAGAGGGUCGUGGGUUCGAUUCCAGCCUGGGGCC